rnacentral:rRNA from 1 species
GACGAACGCUGGCGGCGUGCUUAACACAUGCAAGUCGAACGGAAAGGCCCUGCUCUUGUGCGUUGCUCGAUUGGCGAACGGGUGUGUAAAACGUGAGUAAACUGCCCUUGACUUUGGGAUAACUUUACGAAACUGCGGAGCAUAUCCCGUAGGAUCUCCUGCAGCAUGGGGGUGGUUGGUAAGUUUCGGCGGUUCUGGAUCGACUCGCGGCAUAUCCGCUUGUUUGGCUGGUAGGUGCUUACCAAGGGUACGACGGGUAGCCGGCCUGAGAGGUUGACCGGGGUCAUGGGUCCUGCGAUAGGGCGCAGACUCGAACGGGAGGCAGCAGGGGAGAAUCUUGCGCAGCGGGCGGAAGCCUGAUGCAGCAACGUCGGGUGCGGAAUGACGGCCUUCGGGUUGUAAACAGAUUUCGAAUGAGACGAAGCGUGAGUGACGGUAAUUGGUAAAGAAGCAACGGCUAACUACGUG